rnacentral:rRNA from 1 species
UUCGGGCCUCUUGCCAUCAGAUGUGCCCAGAUGGGAUUAGCUAGUAGGUGGGGUAACGGCUCACCUAGGCGAUGAUCCCUAGCUGGUCUGAGAGGAUGACCAGCCACACUGGAACUGAGACACGGUCCAGACUCNUACGGGAGGCAGCAGUGGGGAAUAUUGCACAAUGGCCGCAAGCCUGANGCAGCCAUGCCGCGUGUAUGAAGAAGGCCUUCGGGUUGUAAAGUACUUUCAGCGGGGAGGAAGGUGUUGUGGUUAAUAACCGCAGCAAUUGACGUUACCCGCAGAAGAAGCACCGGCUAACUCCGUGCCAGCAGCCGCGGUAAUACGGAGGGUGCAAGCGUUAAUCGGAAUUACUGGGCGUAAAGCGCACGCAGGCGGUCUGUCAAGUCGGAUGUGAAAUCCCCGGGCUCAACCUGGGAACUGCAUUCGAAACUGGUUAGCUAGAGUGUGGGAGAGGAUGGUAGAAUUCCAGGUGUAGCGGUGAAAUGCGUAGAGAUCUGGAGGAAUACCGAUGGCGAAGGCAGCCAUCUGGCCUAACACUGACGCUGAGGUGCGAAAGCAUGGGGAGCAAACA